rnacentral:tRNA from 1 species
AUGUUUUUAGUAUAUAAAGUACACUUACCUUCCAAGUAAAAAGAUUAUCAUUAAAAAACAUA